ACGCUCGACACCUACGGGAGCAGCAGUCGGGAAUAUUGCGCAAUGGAGGAAACUCUGACGCAGUGACGCCGCGUAUAGGAAGAAGGUUUUCGGAUUGUAAACUAUUGUCGUUAGGGAAGAAAAAAGACAGUACCUAAGGAGGAAGCUCCGGCUAACUACGUGCCAGCAGCCGCGGUAAUCUGAGCGGGCUGGCAAGGC
rnacentral:rRNA from 1 species